CGGGUACUGCCCGGUACGAGCCUUAGAAUAUCCCUGAGGCUUAUCGAUCCAAAUGGGAGCUGUCCCUGUCCGGGCCCUGGCCCGAUACAUACGGCGCCCACCUGACGUUUGUGGCGUCAGAGGAUUUCCGGCAAACGGCCACGGUGGUCCCGUC
rnacentral:other from 1 species